UACAGAGGGGGCAAGCGUUGUUCGGAAUUACUGGGCGUAAAGGGCGCGUAGGCGGCCUGCUAAGUCGAACGUGAAAUCCCCGGGCUCAACCCGGGAACUGCGUCCGAUACUGGCAGGCUUGAAUCCGGGAGAGGGAUGUGGAAUUCCAGGUGUAGCGGUGAAAUGCGUAGAUAUCUGGAGGAACACCGGUGGCGAAGGCGGCAUCCUGGACCGGUAUUGACGCUGAUGCGCGAAAGCCAGGGGGGCAAACGGG
rnacentral:rRNA from 1 species